rnacentral:rRNA from 1 species
UACGAAGGGGGCUAGCGUUGUUCGGAAUUACUGGGCGUAAAGGGUGCGUAGGCGGUCGCGUAAGUCAGGUGUGAAAUCUCAGGGCUCAACCCUGAAACUGCACUUGAUACUGCGUGGCUCGGGUACUGGAGAGGAGACUGGAAUUUACGGUGUAGCAGUGAAAUGCGUAGAUAUCGUAAGGAAGACCAGUGGCGAAGGCGAGUCUCUGGACAGUUACCGACGCUGAGGCACGAAGGUCAGGGGAGCAAACGGG